rnacentral:lncRNA from 1 species
UACACGCCACCGUCUGCAUGGAUGCAGCAGGGCACGUGCACAUUUAUUAUGAGUUUGUUAAACUAGAAUUGGUGACACAGAACGUGUUUAGAUGCACCAGCCACAGAGAACCCGAACACGUAAAGGUCGCCGUUUGUCUUGCCGGCAGUUGAGGGGACUCAGCCUGCAAGAGGCUGUGCCGAGGGCUGAAAACAUCCUGGGCAUCAGAAUAACUCACCAUCAGGCAUCGGGGACAAGGGACAACGGUUCUCUCGGGACAGAACGGUCCUGUGCUGUCCACCCAGUCUCGGCAUCCUCGCUGUCCGGGGAGUGUUCAGCAGAGAAGCAGUGAGGAGAGCUCUGAGGGUCCUUCCUGGGUGUGCUGCAGCUGAGGGGGGCUGGCAAGACCGGCGGGGAGCGCAGGCAGGGGAGGCAGCUGGCCCUGGGGCUCGGGCUUGGGAGCCUGCGGUGGACAAGUUCAGACUCCCAGCGGCGCCGGAGACGGCCGAGGCAGCGGGGCCUGCGGCCUGAAAGCCGGGGAGCGCUCGGGUCCCUCUGGCCUCGAUGAAAGCCCUUGACCGUCGGCUGUGUGAGCCUCUGGCUGUCUGCACAAACCUCCCAAAUCCACAGCCUUCCUGCCCCAGAACUCAGAGGCCCGGGUCAGAAGAAGGCCUGCCCCGUGCAACGGCCCUGCGGAUCUAGGAAUGCUCUGUCCUCUCGCAGAAAGGUUUUUAACAGGGACUUGUAUUUCGCUUUUUCCUUUGAGAUGCUGUAAUAAAACAUAAAAAUUAAAGAUGGUGUCCGCA